UACGGAGGGUGCGAGCGUUGUCCGGAAUCACUGGGCGUAAAGGGCGCGUAGGCGGCGCGGAUAGUCGGCGGUGAAAGCCCGGAGCUCAACUCCGGGUCGGCCGUCGAUACUUCCGGGCUUGAGCACUGUAGAGGCAGAUGGAAUUCCGGGUGUAGCGGUGGAAUGCGUAGAGAUCGGGAAGAACAUCGGUGGCGAAGGCGGUCUGCUGGGCCGUUGCUGACGCUGAGGCGCGACAGCGUGGGGAGCAAACAGG
rnacentral:rRNA from 1 species